rnacentral:rRNA from 2 species
CCUUGAAAUACCACCCUUUAAUGUUUGAUGUUCUAACGUGGACCCGUAAUCCGGGUUGCGGACAGUGUCUGGUGGGUAGUUUGACUGGGGCGGUCUCCUCCUAAAGAGUAACGGAGGAGCACGAAGGUUGGCUAAUCCUGGUCGGACAUCAGGAGGUUAGUGCAAUGGCAUAAGCCAGCUUGACUGCGAGCGUGACGGCGCGAGCAGGUGCGAAAGCAGGUCAUAGUGAUCCGGUGGUUCUGAAUGGAAGGGCCAUCGCUCAACGGAUAAAAGGUACUCCGGGGAUAACAGGCUGAUACCGCCCAAGAGUUCAUAUCGACGGCGGUGUUUGGCACCUCGAUGUCGGCUCAUCACAUCCUGGGGCUGAAGUAGGUCCCAAGGGUAUGGCUGUUCGCCAUUUAAAGUGGUACGCGAGCUGGGUUUAGAACGUCGUGAGACAGUUCGGUCCCUAUCUGCCGUGGGCGCUGGAGAACUGAGGGGGGCUGCUCCUAGUACGAGAGGACCGGAGUGGACGCAUCACUGGUGUUCGGGUUGUCAUGCCAAUGGCACUGCCCGGUAGCUAAAUGCGGAAGAGAUAAGUGCUGAAAGCAUCUAAGCACGAAACUUGCCCCGAG